rnacentral:rRNA from 1 species
AAUGAACGCUAGCGGCAGGCCUAACACAUGCAAGUCGAGGGGCAUCGCGGGUAGCAAUACCUGGCGGCGACCGGCGCACGGGUGAGUAACGCGUAUGCAACCUGCCCCUCACAGGGGGAUAGCCCGCCGAAAGGCGGAUUAAUACCCCAUGGCCCCGCGCCCCGGCAUCGGGGGGCGGGUAAAGGAGCGAUCCGGUGAAGGAUGGGCAUGCGUGCCAUUAGCUGGUUGGCGGGGUAACGGCCCACCAAGGCGACGAUGGCUCGGGGGUCUGAGAGGAUGGUCCCCCACACUGGUACUGAGACACGGACCAGACUCCUACGGGAGGCAGCAGUGAGGAAUAUUGGUCAAUGGGCGCAAGCCUGAACCGGCCAUCCCGCGUGAAGGAAGAAGGCGCUAUGCGUUGUAAACUUCUUUUCCAGAGGAAUAAAUUUUGUACGAGUACGGAACUGAAGGUACUCUGGGAAUAACCUUGGCUACUUCGUG